AUGAUGAGAGUAAUCCAAGUCCCUGUUGGAGUCAGUCAGAGCAUUUCCAUAGAGAGCCACUUUGCAUCAGCAGCACCAUGCUCCAGUGCUCUGGGAGAGUUUAUAGUCCUGAGAGUUGAACACUGGAUGACUGACAGCUGUCCUUCAUGACAACAGAAGACACAGAAAUCCUCCUCAUCAAAAACAUGACUUUGACCUGCGUCCUCAUCUGGACUCUCCUCUGCUGCUGCUUCACAGAGUCCAGAGGUCAGAUCACAGUGACUCAGCCUGCAGCAGUGAGCUCUGCUCUGGGAGGCUCCGUCACCAUCAACUGUAGGACCAGUCAGAAUGUUUAUUCUUCUGGCAGCAACCACUAUUUAGCCUGGUACCAACAGAGAGAUGGAGAAACUCCUAAAGUUCUCAUUUACAGGGCUAGCAGUCGAGCAUCCGGGAUUCCAGAUCGUUUUACAGGCAGUGGAUCAAACUCUGCCUUCACUCUGACCAUCAGUGGAGUUCAGGCUGAAGAUGCAGCAGUUUACUACUGUCAGAGUUAUCACUACAUCAACAGUCAGUAUGUGUUCACACAGUGA